AAUAUUUCACAAUGGAGGGAACUCUGAUGCAGCAACGCCGCGUGAGUGAAGAAGGUUUUCGGAUCGUAAAACUCUGUCAUUGGGGAAGAAUAAAUGACAGUACCUAAGGAGGCACCCCCGGCUAACUAUGUGCCAGCAACCGCGGUAAUACGUAGGGGGCAAGCGUUGUCCGGAAUUACUGGGCGUAAAGGGUGCGUAGGCGGCCUUUUAAGUCAGAUGUGAAAGACCACGGCUUAACCGUGGGACUGCAUUUGAAACUGGAGGGCUUGAGUAUCGGAGAGGGUAGUGGAAUUCCCAGUGUAGCGGUGGAAUGCGUAGAUAUUGGGAGGAACACCAGUGGCGAAGGCGACUACCUGGACGAAAACUGACGCUGAGGCACGAAAGCUAGGGGAGCAAACA
rnacentral:rRNA from 1 species